ensembl:snoRNA
CUGCCAGCCUGCAGCGUGCUUGGGUAUGGAACGACCCUGUGUGUUCCUAUAGUGCCUGUGAGAACAGUAUGAAAUGACCUGCGGCCUUGCCCUCCUCCAUCCAGAACAAGCUUAUAGAAAUUUCAGACAAUU